AAUCAAUCAACAAUUGGAAAGAAAUCAAUUGGAAAUCCAGAGAGAGAAACUUCAAUACAAGUAAGACAUUAUUAACAUCUUCGCAAUUUCUCUCGGUCAAACGUUGGCGUUGCUGCUGCUGCUGCCAUAGUCAUUAUCAAUGUUGUUGUUGUUAUUGCUGCUGCUGUUGUUGUUGUUAUUAUUACUGUUGUUGUUGUUAAGCAACAAGACGGGUAAGGGUGAUUAGGUGAUGGUCUAGGGCUUAGGGGCGGGAGACCCCAGACCUUAAAAAAAAAAGAACUUUGGUCGUCUUGUUGUAGUCGAGGGCUCUUCGUUGACGCCCGACACCACUGAGAGGUGGCCCUCGAAGUCGCUGGAAAUGGAGAUCUCCAGGUCCAAAUUCUUGGAUUGCUGCUGCUGCUGUUUGUUUGUUGAGCAAAGCGGUCUUCGUCCCAGAGCUCGCAAGAUCGCGCCUCAUGAUUGUAUGUAGUGGGAGAAGUCCGAAACGUGGUCCUUUGCUAUUUGUAAGACCCACAGAAGAGAAAGCAGGUCAACGCCCCCCGAUACCGAGAGCAUCGACAGAUUGAUGAAUGCACAUCCAGGCUCAGCGGUUGCGCAGGAAGUCGGGGACAAGAAACAAGAAGAAAGAGUGAGAGAAAGUUGGAGCGAAAGAGUACAACAGGGGUUGCCACCACCCCAUGCCAGAGCCUUGUGGGACUUUAGAUGUUUUCGCUCAAUAAACACACACAACGCCCAGCGUGGGAAUCGAAACUGCGAUCCUCCGACUGCGAGUCCGCUGCCCUAACCAUUGGGCCAUUGCGCCUCCACUUACUGCUGCAGUUGCUGUUGUUGUUGUUGCUGCUGUUACAGUUGUUAUUAAUGAUGAUUUUGCUGCCAUAGUCAUCAUCACUGUUGCUGUUGUUGUUGUUGCUGCUGCUGCUUUUUCUCCUUCUUCUUCCUCCUCUUCUUAUUCUUAUUAUUAUUAUUAUUAUUCUCUUCUUCUUCAUCCUCUUCUUCUUCGUCUUCUUAUCUUCUUCUUCUCCUUCUCUUUCUUCUUCUUCUUCUUCCUCUUCUUCUUAGUCUUCUCCUUCUUCUUCUUUUCCUUCUUCUCUUUCUUCUUCUUCUUCUUCUGUCCGUCCGUCCGUCCAUCCAUCCAUCCAAUGUUUCUGAUUUUCUUCAGGCAACAAUUAGAAGAAAUCCUGGAACAAUCUAGAAACGAGAAACAACUGAUGCUGAGAGAACAGAACAGUUUACAAGAGAAACUAAAUAAAGUCAGUGUUUUUUAUUUAAAUUAUUGCAUUUUAUUGAUAUGUGUUGUUAUUGUUGUUGUUGUUUAUGAUGAUGCUGUUGUUGUUGUUGUUGUAAGGCCCUUGGUCCGUUCUGUUCCAGCAGACAUGUGCCAUGAUGUUAUGGCUUUCUAGUAAGCUAUCAUGAUAGGCACAUUGUCAUUGUCAUCAUCAACAUCACCUUCAGUGUUGCCAUUAUCAUCAUCUUCAUUAUAAUCAUCAUCAUCAACAACACUACCACCACCACCACCAUCAUCAUUUUCAUCAUCAUCACCACCAUCAUCAUCAUCAUUACCACCUCCACUACCACCAUCAUCACCACCGCCAUCUUAUUUAGUCGUGCUGUUUUGAAUUAAUCCUGCAUUAUCUCACAGCUUCUAGAUUUUGAUGAUGGUGGCUGUUUACUUUUCGAAUGACAUUGUGGGGUAGGUGUGAGAGGCUGGCUCUGGCUGGUUUGAAGAUAAAACAACUAAAAUGUAAGGACUGGAUGUGGCUGGUUUAAAUGGUCAAACGGUUAAAGCUGUGCCUCAGCAUAGCUAUAGGUCAAUGACUGAAACCAAUACAUGAGGAGGAUGGUAGAAACAGAAGGCAUUAAUGCAUCUAGUUUUAUUACAUUACUAGCAGUAUCACCCGGCGUUGCUUGGGUUUGUAAGGGAAAUAACUAUAUAAGCAUUUUUAGAGAGUUACUUCCCUUAUAUAACCCGAGCAAAAAUCAUUAAAAAUGCGGAAAAAAUGAUGGUAAAUUUUUUUUUAAAUUGUAGGCUCAUCGUAGACACGCACUAAUACCCAGAAGGGCUCAAUAUGAAUGACGACUAUAAGAUACCCGCUUUUGGUUAAACUGCACCACAAAAUGUGGGAGUAGUUAGGAAUCUAAAUCGGAGGAGACAGAGUCUCACACACACAACUUCAAUUUUAUAUAUAAAGAUGUCCUGAGUUCAAAUCUCAACUGAGUAAUCUCUAUUUUAACCCCACCUCACUCCUCACUGAGUGACCAUUCUCAUCAUCAUUUAAUGUCCACUUUUCCUUACUUGCAUGGAUCAGACAGAAUUUUUUGAGGCAGACUUCCUACAGCUGGAUGCCCUUCCUGUCACUGACCCUCAUCAGUUUCCAUCUAUGGUAAUAUUUUCACCAUGACUAGACAUGUUUUUCAUGGAAGACUGGAAAGAAACAAACUCACUUGUACGAUGCUGAUGCUCAUUUAUGACCAUCACAUAAUGUCCCGACAAGGAAGGAAGGAAGGAUGGAUUCAUUCAUUCAUUCAUUCAUUCAUUCAUUCAUGCAUGCAUACAGUGGUCUUCUUUCAGUUUCUGUCUUCCAAAUCCAUUCAAAAGUCUUUGGUCAGUCCUGGGCUAUAAUAGAAGACACUUACCUCAGUAUUGCACAAUGGGAUUGAACCAAGGACCACAUGGUUGGGAAGCCAGCUUCUUAACCACACACCCACACCUGUGCCUGAUAUUUCAAAUUGAUGUUUUUUGAAUUUGCUUUUUACUGAAAUUAGGCUUAGUUACAAAGAUGGGGAAGAAAUUAAAUGAUGAAAUAUGUUAUGAAUUACCAACUAAUUUAUUAAUUGCAAAUUAAUUUUUUUUUUUUCUUCAGGAGAUAGCAGAUCACAAAACAUGUUCACAGGAUGCAGCAAUUAAAAUAGCUGAA
rnacentral:lncRNA from 1 species